UGUUCAGCAGUAAAUCGUAUAGCCUGAGUAAUGGCUUGCUGUACUGAUGAGAACUAUACAUCACUAUAAAUUUAUACACAUAUAUAUGUAUAUAUAUAUGUAUAUAUGUAUAUAGUUGUAUAUAAAUACUAAUACUAAAAUCUACUCUGUAAAUUGCAGACAUAAAGAAGAUGAAUUGAAGUAUUUUCUUAUAGAUUUUUUUUUUUAUUGAUUAUCUUUUUAUAAAAAGAAAAUCAGCCAGCCCCAAUU